ensembl:lncRNA
UGGCAUUUUCCAUCAUGCUUCUUGAAAUUGUCUUGGAUCAUCGUAUUGCUGAGAAUUGUAUUGCUAAGUCAAUCAUUGUUGGUCAUCUCACAGUGUUACUGUUACUAUAUAAUGUUCUCCUGGGUUGUAAAGAAUGGUCAAAUUAACAGAAUGGUCAAUGAAUUGCAAGGUCAAUAUGAAUCAACAGUAUGACACGGUGGCCAAAAAUGGUCGUGAAUCUUUACUAUUAUCAGUAAGUUUUGUAUACAGGAUAGGGAGAUGGUUUGCUUGGUAUAUAUUCUGUCCUUCAUAUACCACUGCUGAGGUGUUAAGUCCUGAAGAGUCUAACUUAGAAACUACACCGAUAAUCUAGAGAGCUGAUAGGAGGAGGCCACCAGGAAAAAGGGCUUCAUCCAAUCUAGAACAAACUGAGGUUUGGGGGAGGCAUGAUGGCCAUUUUGAAAUAAUUGGUAGAUUGUCAAGUGGCUAAGGUAUAAGAUUUCUUGGUCCCAGUUGGUGGAAUCAGGCAGUAUGGGUAGAAAUUGAAAGAGGCAGAUUAUAUUUGAUAUAAGAAGUGCUUCCCAAUGAUCAGAGCUCUCUAAAAAUGGAAACUGCUUUGGGAGUUGAGGGUUCCCAUCACUAGAGGUCUUCAAGAAAAGACUAGAUGAAGAUAUAUUGGGUUUAUUAAGGAAGGGAUUUUAUUGAGGUACAAAGUAGACUAGACAACAUAGAGGUUUCUUCCAAUUCUUAGAAUCUGCAAUUUAAGGUCAAAGAUGGUACAAAGCUGAACUGUAGAACCACAGGGUCAAGAAUAUGAUAGGACAAAAAAGAUAUUUGCAUGUGGGGCUUGGAUGCUGCUGAUUAACUUUACUUUUCCAAAAUUAAUUUCUUUGGGGGAAACAAAGGAUCAACAAUAAAGCCAACUAACAAAAUACCAAUUGCCUUUUAAGUUUUGUUUCUCUUGCAAAUGCAGUUACAGAGAAGGGGAAUGAUUGUGGACACUUUAACAUUUUCUCUUAAUCAGUUCUGGAUCAACCGAAUGUCUACCUUGCAGCAAAUGAAGUAACCAAUUAACCCUGCUGUGCAGUGAAUGUACCUAAGAGAAGACUUGUUGAGAAGUUACUUAUUUGAAAGGCAUUUGCCCUCUUGAAUGGGACAGUUUCAGGCUGGUGAGAGAAAAGGGCAGGAUUCGGGCACUGGGUGGAUACAUGACCUGAGAGGGACCUUCUUUCCCUUCCUCAUCUUCUAAGCCAGAAGGAGACACCGACUUGCAAAUACUUUGAGAUAUGAGGAAACAAGCUCAGAGGGGAAGAACUGCCUAAGAUCGCACAGAGUGAUAGUAAGGAAGCUGGGACUAGAACCCUGUGCUGUUUCGAAUGUCAGGCCUGCUCUUUUUACUGUUUCACAGUUCCUUUCUGGGAUUUCACCUUCAGCAACACUGCCUCAGGGACUUUCACGAUCCUCAGGGCUGAGCCAAGAUUGGGCUUAACACAGAUUGAUCUGGUAACCACUUAUAGGACAUAGCUUUAGGGGAACCUCCAGUAUUUCUCCCACCGGUAUGCCCUCAUGCUUGAAUCUCACCCCUUCCCUCAAUAGUUAGCCUUUUGAAAGUUGGUGGCUACAAUGAAGGGGGCAAUUCAUUAAGCCAGUUAAAUUAGACAUUCACAGAUUUGAUCUGAUGAGUUUAUCAACCAAAUUCCUAGCAGAAUCAGAAGGCCUGGGACAAAGGAAAAUAGUUUUGUGCUUGGAUAAAAUGAUUUCAUCAUGAGUGAGAUGACUGAAUUGGGGGCCUAAGUAGCAUUAAGACAUGAAGGUACCAGACACCUAGGAGUCUGAAUGGGAG